rnacentral:rRNA from 1 species
CCUACGGGAGGCAGCAGUGGGGAAUAUUGGGCAAUGGAGGAAACUCUGACCCAGCAACGCCGCGUGAAUGAUGAAGGCCUUCGGAUUGUAAAGUUCUUUUCUAAGGGAAGAAGAAAGUGACGGUACCUGAGGAAUAAGCCACGGCUAACUACGUGCCAGCAGCCGCGGUAAUACGUAGGAGGCAAGCGUUAUCCGGAAUGACUGGGCGUAAAGGGCGCGUAGGUGGUUCAGCAAGUUAGUAGCGUAAUUCCGGGGCUCAACUUCGGCACUACUACUAAAACUGUUGGACUUGAGUGCAGGAGGGGCAGCUGGAAUUUCGAGUGUAGCGGUGGAAUGCGUAGAUAUUAGGAAGAACACCGGUGGCGAAGGCGAGUUGCUGGACUGUAACUGACACUGAGGCACGAAAGCGUGGGGAGCAAACAGGAUUAGAUACCCGUGUAGUC